rnacentral:rRNA from 1 species
UACAGAGGGUGCGAGCGUUAAUCGGAAUUACUGGGCGUAAAGCGUGCGUAGACGGUUAUUUAAGUCAGAUGUGAAAGCCCCGGGCUCAACCUGGGAAUUGCAUUUGAGACUGAAUAGCUAGGGUACGGUAGAGGGAAGCGGAAUUUCCGGUGUAGCGGUGAAAUGCGUAGAUAAUCGGAAGGAACAUCAGUGGCGAAAGCGGCUUCCUGGACCAGUACCGACGUCAGGCACGAAAGCGUGGGGAGCAAACAGGA